AACACGUGGGCAACCUGCCUGUAAGUUGGGGAUAACUCCGGGAAACCGGGGCUAAUACCGAAUGAUAAAGUGUGGCGCAUGCCACGCUUUUGAAAGAUAGUUUCGGCUAUCGCUUACAGAUGGGCCCGCGGUGCAUUAGCUAGUUGGUAGGGUAAUGGCCUACCAAGGCAACGAUGCAUAGCCGACCUGAGAGGGUGAUCGGCCACACUGGGACUGAGACACGGCCCAGACUCCUACGGGAGGCAGCAGUAGGGAAUCUUCCGCAAUGGACGAAAGUCUGACGGAGCAACGCCGCGUGUAUGAAGAAGGUUUUCGGAUCGUAAAGUACUGUUGUUAGAGAAGAACAAGGAUAAGAGUAACUGCUUGUCCCUUGACGGUAUCUAACCAGAAAGCCACGGCUAACUACGUGCCAGCAGCCGCGGUAAUACGUAGGUGGCAAGCGUUGUCCGGAUUUAUUGGGCGUAAAGCGCGCGCAGGCGGUCUUUUAAGUCUGAUGUGAAAGCCCCCGGCUUAACC
rnacentral:rRNA from 1 species